rnacentral:misc_RNA from 1 species
AGGAUUCCCUCCAGAUGACUUUGAAAGCUUCUUAUAAACCUCAACGCAAGCCGUCGCCUUGGCCAAGAAGUGGUCAUAAAACUUCUUAUAACUACCUGAGGGUUUUAAACAAUCAUAAUCAGCUGUCUCAGUUGAGAUCCAUAUGACAGGAGUUCCAUCUUCAUAGCCAGAGAUAGCCCAUUCUUCAAUACGCCCAAAGCCUUCACAUCUAAUUCCUUUUGCUUUUACUUUGUCAAGACUGUCCUCAAGUGGUAAAAUGAGGCCACUGAUAAACAGAUCAUCAACCUCAGACAUUCCAAACGGUUGUGGUAUUCCUUCUGAGUUAUGAAAAACAAAAUCCGUUAAUCUUCUACAGGGUCGUUGAGACUCUUGCAGACCCGCAGUUAACCUAAUAGCUACAUCCUCUUCGUCUACACAAUGGUCCUUCUUUGUUUCAAUGACUGAAGACUU